rnacentral:rRNA from 1 species
ACGAACGCUGGCGGCGUGCUUAACACAUGCAAGUCGAACGGAAAGGCCCUGCUUUUGUGGGGUGCUCGAGUGGCGAACGGGUGAGUAACACGUGAGUAACCUGCCCUUGACUUUGGGAUAACUUCAGGAAACUGGGGCUAAUACCGGAUAGGAGCUCCUGCUGCAUGGUGGGGGUUGGAAAGUUUCGGCGGUUGGGGAUGGACUCGAGGCUUAUCAGCUUGUUGGUGGGGUAGUGGCUUACCAAGGCUUUGACGGGUAGCCGGCCUGAGAGGGUGACCGGCCACAUUGGGACUGAGAUACGGCCCAGACUCCUACGGGAGGCAGCAGUGGGGAAUAUUGCACAAUGGGCGGAAGCCUGAUGCAGCAACGCCGCGUGCGGGAUGACGGCCUUCGGGUUGUAAACCGCUUUCGCCUGUGACGAAGCGUGAGUGACGGUAAUGGGUAAAGAAGCACCGGCUAACUACGUG